rnacentral:rRNA from 1 species
AUUGAACGCUGGCGGCAGGCCUAACACAUGCAAGUCGAACGAGUGGCGGACGGGUGAGUAAUGUCUGGGAAACUGCCUGAUGGAGGGGGAUAACUACUGGAAACGGUAGCUAAUACCGCAUACCAUCAGAUGUGCCCAGAGGGGUUUAGCUAGUUGGUGGGGUAACGGCUCAACAAGGCGACGAUCCCUAGCUGGUCUGAGAGGAUGACCAGCCAGACUGGAACUGAGACACGUUCCAGACUCCUACGGUAGGAAGCAGUGGGGAAUAUUGGACAAUGGACGAAAGCCUGAUGCAGCCAUGCCGCGUGUGUGAAGAAGGCCUUCGGGUUGUAAAGUACUGUCAGCGGGGAGGCGGUACCCGCAGAAGAAGCACCGGCUAACUCCGUGCCAGCAGCCGCGGUAAUAC